UGAAUUCCUUACGCAGUUCAAUGGUUGCUGUUAUCUUUGCCAUGACAUUGAUCCUUAAUUUCAUAUGGAGUGAAUAUGUACCAAGCUAGGGCAUACCCAUCUGCAUCCUUAGUUUCAAAAAUGUCACAAUCUUCCCAAUCACUUUCACGUCCACUCUGGCACAAAGAAGGGCAAAAAUCAACUCAGGAUCCCGUGGUAGAAAAGCACCAUCUGGCAGUUCCAAUCCUAUAAAUAACUAGAAAUGGUGCAUGUUCAGUGGGUUGAAGCCUAUGAAAAGGGGCAAAGAAAAAGCAACAUGAAGAUUCCAAGCUGUAGUAUGAACUCUGUUAAGGUCUCUAGUUUUGCUUUUUUUUUUUUCAGUGUGCUUUACUGUUUCUCCAGCUUUAAAUUUCUAGGUUUGAUAGUGAGAACGGUAUAGUUCAUGACUUUAGAAUUUAUAUUGCUCUUUAUUUGAUCUUACCUGUGAUGUUUUAGAUCGUAGAGAAUAAUCUUGUAUCCUAUGAAUGGAAAGGAUCGGAGAAAAAUAAUAGCAAUAUAUAUGUUGAUGGUGAGAAA